rnacentral:rRNA from 1 species
CCUACGGGGUGCAGCAGUAGGGAAUCUUUCACAAUGGGCGAAAGCCUGAUGGAGCAACGCCGCGUGCAGGAUGAAGGCCUUCGGGUUGUAAACUGCUUUUAUAAGCGAGAAAUAUGAUGGUAACUUAUGAAUAAGGAUCGGCUAACUACGUGCCAGCAGCCGCGGUCAUACGUAGGAUCCGAGCAUUAUCCGGAGUGACUGGGUGUAAAGAGUUGCGUAGGUGGGAUAAUAAGUAGCUAGUGAAAUCUGGUGGCUCAACCAUUCAGACUAUUAGCUAAACUGUUAAGCUCGAGACCGUUAGGGGUAACUGGAAUUUCUAGUGUAGGAGUGAAAUCCGUAGAUAUUAGAAGGAACACCAAUAGCGUAGGCAGGUUGCUGGGACGGUUCUGACACUAAGGCACGAAAGCGUAGGGAGCAAACGGGAUUAGAUACCCGUGUAGUC